GCACCGGAUCCCAUCAGAACUCCG
rnacentral:snRNA from 1 species